rnacentral:tRNA from 1 species
GGAAAUGUGCCUGAAAGUUAAGGACCUCCUUGAUAGGGAGAAUAAUAAGGGCUCAAACCCCUUCAUUUCCU